UACGUAGGGUGCGAGCGUUAAUCGGAAUUACUGGGCGUAAAGCGUGCGCAGGCGGUUCUCCAAGUCCGUUGUGAAAGCCCCGGGCUCAACCUGGGAAUGGCAGUGGAAACUAGGGGACUGGAAUCUGGCAGAGGGGGGUGGAAUGCCGCGUGUAGCAGUGAAAUGCGUAGAGAUGCGGCGGAACACCGGUGGCGAAGGCGGCCUGCUGGGCAGUGGCUGACGCUGAGGCGCGACAGCGUGGGGAGCAAACAGG
rnacentral:rRNA from 1 species